rnacentral:lncRNA from 1 species
CCAGUUCGCGGCGUCCAUCGCUUCUGUCCAAGCGCUCUUCAUCUUGUGUGUCAUCUGCAAGGCAAUCAAGUUAAUUAGAUGUUGCUCUUUUCAUGAUCUGCUUCAUACAUACAUGCAUAUGUGAUUGCUUCCUACCUUCCUGCCUGCUACAUCUCUGCUAGCAUAAAUCAAAGAGAAGAAAGAAAUCUACCUAUUUUUAUCUGCAGCCUUUAAUGAAUUCUAUGAAUCUUUAGCCUUUAAUGAAUUCAAUGUAUGAUUGUGAUGAGAAUUAUGGUACUACUUGCUGUUUGCAUCCUAUACUUUUCUUGUGAAUGAUGCUAUGUUGUCCUGCAGACUAUCAUAUAUUUUUGUGUUGUUUUUGCUGAAUAGAUUGAAUAUCUUUGUUACACACUGUAGCUUGUAGCUUUGCAAACUAACCUCCUCUAGUUCUCUUACUUUUCUGCAGACCGCCCAUGGCAUGGACGGCGACGACGACAGGAGGACGCCAGUUCUAGCCGGGAACAUGGCCUUGUCCUGCUCGAGGAGGAGGGACGCACCUAGGCACCGGCCCUGUCCCGCAACAAGGGGUCUGCUCCUCUGCUUCCAAGG